rnacentral:rRNA from 1 species
GACGAACGCUGGCGGCGCGCCUAACACAUGCAAGUCGAACGAGCGAGAGAGAGCUUGCUUUCUUGAGCGAGUGGCGAACGGGUGAGUAACGCGUGAGGAACCUGCCUCAAAGAGGGGGACAACAGUUGGAAACGACUGCUAAUACCGCAUAAGCCCACGACCCGGCAUCGGGUUGAGGGAAAAGGAGCAAUCCGCUUUGAGAUGGCCUCGCGUCCGAUUAGCUAGUUGGUGAGGUAACGGCCCACCAAGGCGACGAUCGGUAGCCGGACUGAGAGGUUGAACGGCCACAUUGGGACUGAGACACGGCCCAGACUCCUACGGGAGGCAGCAGUGGGGAAUAUUGCACAAUGGGGGAAACCCUGAUGCAGCGACGCCGCGUGGAGGAAGAAGGUCUUCGGAUUGUAAACUCCUGUUGUUGAGGAAGAUGAUGACGGUACUCAACAAGGAAGUGACGGCUAACUACGUG